CGCAGGAAGGGUCUCGGGAGCCGGGGGGUCCGGAGGUGGAGGAGUCUCAGCAUCUUGUUUCCUGUGCUCCUUCCCAGCAGGUGCAGGCCCUGGAAGACGAGGGAGGAGCCUGUGAGCCACCGGCCCACGUGAAAGUAAAUGCAUGAAGUUCCCUCUCACUGAACUGAAAAGAGCCUCAACCUGGACCUGACACCAACUUCGCCGGUGCUGCCUGGCUGGUUGCUCUAGCGCCCUGAAGGAGAGGAAUGCAGUCAUAUUUCACUGUGAUUUUCAGUGUCAUUUCCACGAAGACUAAUGAUGUUGAGCUUUUUUUUCUCCAUAAUACAGAGAGAUCUUGACUGAGACAGACACACCCCAAGUGUGCAGCAUUUGAGGCGCUCCGAGACCCUCAUGAGCUUGGGUCCUCCAUGGCUGCCUCGCCACUAUAUGAGGAAGCUUCGGGAUGUGUGAAGGCAGACCCGACUUCAGGACCUCAUUCAGAGCGAGAGCCUGGGAACACUGGUGUGAGGCAGCACCGUGCCCUCGCCGUGCACCCAGGGGGUUUUGUGAGACGAGAGAUAGAGUCUUGCUAUGUUGUCCAGGCUGGCACUGAACUCUUGGGCUCCAACGAUCCUCCUGCCCCGGCCUCCUGAGUAGCUGGGAUUAUAGGCACAAGUCACCAUGCCCAGCCGGAAUAAUCUGAAGGAAAGAUGGGUAUAUUCAAGAUGACUUUGCUGCUGGAAAUAUGACAGAAUAAUGUGGUAUCUUCCUCUGCACUUCCAAGCUCUUUCACACUCAGGCUCCUCCUGGCUUUUCUGCCUCAGACACCAUAAACUGUGGUUGCUUCUCCAGCUCUGUUACAGUUCAGACUUGAGGGGAGGUGACAAGAGCUAACAUGUUACCAUGGGGAGCCUGGCUGACAUUUCCGAAACUGAAGACUCUAUGGAAGCCUCAUGCUAUUGCAAUGUGUACAUCAAAAGUAAAGUACCCCAGGUUAAAACUAUGAGGAAGUUGCCAUCUUUACUUCCAGGAGCAAAGACACUGAAACUGUCCCCUGUAAGCCCCUUAAUUUCAUACAGUCCUCUGACUGCCCCCCCCCCCCAACCCUGGCUACUUUUUUUUGAAAUAAGGUCUCACUCUGUCAUCCAGGCUGGAGUGCAGUGGCAAAAUCACAAUACCCUGCAGCCUUGACCUCAUGGGCUCAAGCAGUCCUCCCACUUCAGCCUCCUGGGUAGCUGGGACUACAGGCUUGCACUACCACACCCAGCUUAUUUUUUGUAGAGACAGAGUUUCGUCAUGUUGCCCAGGCUGGUCUCAGGAGUCACUCCUGAGCUCAAGUGAUCCGCCUGCCUUGGCCUCCCAAAGUGCUGGGAUUACAGGCGUGAGCCACUAUGUCUGGUCCUCUGACCCUUUUAGCAGGAAAUCCAGCCCAGCCCCUGAACGGCAUGUUAGACAGUUCAACAAAGCCUUCUAGAAGACCAAAGAAGACUCAUAGGAAUAAGCCUCUUGCUGAUUAAUGGAAACAUGACCAUUUGUGGAGAAAGUGCAAUCUGCAUUGAACACCUUUAGGGGAACCUGUCAUUUAAGACUUCAAGCAUUACCAUGAAAACUUCCUCUGAAAAACCUUACAGACAUCUCUGUAAAACAGAUUUAAAAAGAAACACAUUUCUGCUCAAUUGGUACACAUCAAAUGGUGAUUUAAGAGCAAGGCUAGGAAACCAGAAGAUGAUAUGCAUAUACAUAAAGUUGCCACUAUUCCAAAUAGUAAAAUAAAGACAAAGUCAAUGGUCCUAGAAGAGCUGGUGGGUUGUGGAGCCAGGAGAGAAAGGCAGCUCCCUUCACCUUCCCUGUACAUUCCAGGAGGCCCUAGAAUGACCUAGAUGGUGUUACGCACAAAGCCCUCCUUUUCCCAUCCCGCCAUCAUCUCAGGAGCAAAUGGCCACACUCGGGUAUACGGAGCAGCUCAAGCAACCAGGUCUUCCCGCCAUUCCCCUGAAAGGGCUGGUUUUGCCAAACGCCAGAGCCACAUUG
rnacentral:lncRNA from 1 species